CCCAACAACCAUUCCACCAACAAGCAGAAUUAAUAAUUCCCCAGCAACCUCAAAAACCAUUCCCUCUGCAGCCACAGCAACCAUAUACACAACAAACCAUCUGGAGUAUGGUAUAGUCGUCAGGGGCCAAUGAAGCAAAAAGUUGUAAUACUAAAUGGGUGGAUCAUCAUCCUUUAGUCAACGGAGUGUUUAAUGUAAUGAUGAUAAAUAAAGUGAUGUGCACCAUCAUGUGUAACCCCGACCUAUACUAGUUCAAAUGAGAAUAAAAGUCAAAGAAAGUUCUUGUCACAAGGACAGUGCUGGUAAUUAUUUAAUUCACGCCAUAUUUAGAUUUUCAUCCCUAACUACAAUUUGAGUUACAUGCAUUAUCUGCAAUUUAUGAAGUGAAGUCCUAUGAGCCUAACAUAAUUAAUGGUUGAAAGCUUGGUUUGAAUUGAAUUAUUAGCAAAUAAAGAGUAAGGAAUAAUUGCAAAUUAUCUCUUCGAUGUCUAGCCAUAUGAAUUGUGUGACCUUAUCGUUCGCAAUGAUUCUAGAUUGUACAUAUACAUUUUUCUAAUUGUUGACCGACAUAUGAAGCAACAUAUGCUUAAACAUAUGGUGACCGACCACUGGUCUCGGUGUAAAUCUCACUAGCAGCUUUAUAUCGAAGGGAGUGAGAUGAUGAUGACUUCGUGUUAAAUUUUGUAGUUAUUUAAAUAGUUUCUUUAAUGGACCGGUUGCUCAUAUUAGGAAAUGGGCUUGCGCCAUAUCGAGUUCUUGGAAAUAGACAAGAUGAAGGGAUGAUUGAAUUUAUUCCUUCUAUUUCUCCUGCACAUGUAACUUGAGAUUGAAUAUGGUAGCAUUACAAGUUACUAAUAGAAGUUCCAUUAGACUAAUUAUGUCCACCUAGUAUAGCUACCCAAUGGUCAGAAGCUUUUAUUAAAAUUAGUGUUGGUCACACUAAAAUGAAUAUAUUAUGGGUGAAAUAUCAGUCAUCAAAAAUAGCACUUGCAAUGAACGACAAGCUCCCCUCUUUGAUGGUAGUGAUCACUUUUAUAUUAUCCUCAUGGAUCUCAAGUUUAUUGCAUCCGCUCAUAUAUGCAAGAUUUAUACCAAACCUCCAGGAUAAGGCCUCUACUAUAGAAGCAUUAUAACUAGAAUCAACCUUAUCAUUUGUAUCUGCAUUGAAUUUCACAUUGUUACCCUUUAUCACCGCUCCAACAACACCCUGAUAUGAGUCAAGGAUCAAACGAUGCAUCUAUGUUGAGUUUCGCAUGGUCUCUUUGGGAUAGUAUCUGCUUCGCAUUUUAUGCAACUCUAGAAAUUAUGAUAGCUAUAUAAUCUUUAAAAUGUACGCCGAAUUUGUGAAUGCUUUUUUUUGGGUUGUUGUAUAUUUAGCAAUAUUCAACCAUCAAUCAUGUACUGCUGCAGGUAUGAGUCUAUUUAUGUUUUCUUUGAGGAAAUGAGACUAAUCAUGUUGCUUUAGAGAAAAACUUAUGAAUACAAAUGAAUAAACCAAGCAGCUUCUUGGUUGUCAAAGCAUAUUCUGAGAAGGGCUAUGUGCAUUAUUGGGAAUAAUCUUGUAAGCCACAGCUUGGCAGCAAGGUACACGGGACUCGGGGCGACCCUUGACGAUGCAGCCAUGGUGAAGAAACUGCUCGACACCGUGUCGGACCGGCUAUACACCACGGUGGACGUCAUAGAGAAGUUCUGCGACGCUCAUGCGUUCGUUUAGGUGCUCGGGCGGUUGAAAGCGUUCGAGGAGCGGAGGUAGCAAUGCACACACGUCGGCGGCGAGCGGGCAGAUGGGCAGCUGAUGCUCACGACAGCCCAAUGGGAGGCGCGGCGGUGACAGAAGGACGACGGCUCCGACGACUACGGGGUAUCGAGCAAAUCUUCGGGCAGCUGGAAGAAGAGGCGCAGGCACAACUACAACAGUGGGCACCAGAGCCACUUCAAGCGCGACUGUCCCAAACAGUGGAAGGUGCCGGCAGCGGAGCAGGCGUUGCAGGCAGACGUCGGCGAUGACUUCGGCGGGCUGGGACUCCUCUAGUCCGUAGCUUAGGGGGUGUUGGAAAAGGUUGUAAGCCACGACCAGGCCGGCUCGGGCGUGUGUGUGUGAGCGCGCCGGGCUGAAUCAAGUGCGGCCAUGGCAGGUGACUCGGGCGUGUCGGGUGCAUGCGUGUGUGGCAGCGUGUACGGGGAAGUCCUUGCGGAUGCGCAGGGUGUGCGUGAGAAUAGGUCUCUAUGGCCGAGGCUUGACCUAUAUCCAGUGGCGGAGGCAGGGGUGCUGGCAAGGGUCGUGGCUCCCCCUAUGCUCUCACAAAUACACCUAUAUGUAGUCCUAAUCCUCCAUUUGUCAAACACAAUUAGCUAGCUUUAGGUGAUUUGGGCCCCUCUAUUAUUAUAUGACAUAUUUUGGCCCCUUCUAUAUUCAGUUUCUGACUCCACCACUUCAUGUGUCUGACUCAUGUAUGGGCAUAGUCUGAAUUGUGUCUGACUAGUGUACAGGCCACGUAUGGGUUGCGUACGGGAGCCUCUUGCCGCGCGUCUCCUCGCACAGUGCCACGUGUCCGGCUGGGUGGGGGCAGCAGGAAAAAUUCUCCUCCCAAAUGAAAAAAUUCCAGUGGGGCAACCCGAGGAGGCCGAAAAAAUGCCUCCUGGGACACAGCGAGUGGAGUGAUGGAAAGAUAUGGAAAGCAUAGGCCAUGGUGCGGUGAUGAAAAGAUAUGGAUGACAUCCAUCAUGUAGUAGUUACACACUAGAGCAACACAAAACUAGCUCCAAUUCAUCAAUAUAAUGUAGGCAUGUAUUCUAUAUAUAGUCAUAUGUGCUUGCAAUAAGCACUUGCGUAAUCUUUUGUCCUACCCUCUCAUGGAAGCGGGGUCCUAUUGGAAAACAAGGGAUAUUAAGGCAUCCUUUUGAUAUAUAAAUGGAACAAAUCAUUACCACAUGGUGAAUACAUGAAUUCCUCAAACUACGGCAAUCACCAGAAAGAAUCCCAAUUAUUGUCACCUUGGGGUAUGCGGAUCAAGACACAUAAUAGGUGCAUACAGCUUGCAAGAUAGGAUCUGAAUCACUCUUAUAUUCAUGAAAACAUAAUAGGUUCAGAUCUGAAAUCAUGGCACUCGAGCCUUAGUGACAAGCAUUAAGCAUAGCAAAGUAAUAGCAACAUAAAUCUCAGAACAUAGUGGAUACUAGGGAUCAAGCCCUAUCAAAUUAACUCGAUUACAUGAUCAAUUCCAUCCACACACAUCACCGACUAGCAAGCCUACAAAGGAAUUACUCACUCCCGGUGGUGAGAAUCAUGGAAUUGUUAAUGGAUAAGGGUUGGUGAUGACGAGUGCGAUGAAUCCCCCUCCCUGGAGCCCUAAACAGACUACACAUCAGCCCUCCGGAAGAGGAACAGGAGGUGGCCACGGCUCCGUCUCGUAGAUCGCAAUGAAAACUUCUCUUUGAUUUUUCUCUGAAUAUGUUAACUUAUAGAACCGGAGAUAUGGUCGGGGGAGCCUCGUAGGCCCCACCAAGAAAUAGUGCGCAGCCUAGGGGGCGGCCUCACCGUGUUGCCUCGUGGCCACAGGGACCCCUCGGUGGGUCUUUGCUUCAUAAAUCAUUAUAAUUCCUAGUACAAUUUCAUAAAAAGUGUCGUCCAAUUCCGAGAACUUUUAUUUAUGCACAAAAAUAACACCAAGGUAGUUCGGAUUAGUUUCAUUCAAAUCAUGAAAAAUAGAGUCCAAAACAAGAGUAGAAGAGUUUGGAAAAGUAGAUACAUUGGAAAUGUAUCAGCCAUCGACAAGCAGGAACACCCCUAGACUGUCAUUAUGGUUUGAUAAUUGUUACAGAAUGCGGACGGCUAGGCUGAGGCACUGCAUAUGUAGGGUGAAGAUGGUUCAGAUCUGAAAUGAUGGCUCUUGGGCCCUAAUGGCAAGCAUUAAGCAUGCGAAGGUGCUGUCCCACAGACAACAGCGCCAGAAAUUGACACGUUGACAGAGGCUGGGCUUGCGUUGGUUCUUCCCUUGAAGAGGAAAGGGUGAUGCAGCACAGGAUCAGUAAGUAUUUACCUCAGUUCGAAAACCAAGGUAUCGAUCCAGAAGGAGGGUCUCGUCAAGUCCAGACUACCUGCGCAAACACAAACAAGCUUGCACCCAACGCUUCAAAGGGGUUGUCAAUCCCUUCAAGAUUGUUUGCAAAGUGAGAUCUGAUGGCGGAAAGUACAACGAAGUAAAAAGUGUAACACUGAAAAUAUGGUGUGGAGUAGACCCUGGGGGCCAUAGUGUUCACUAGAGGCUUCUCUCAAAAUAGCAAGUAUUACGGUGGGUGAACAAAUUACUGUCGAGCAAUUGAUAGAACCGCGCAAAGUCAUGACGAUAUCUAACGCAAUGAUCAUGCAUAUAGGCAUCACGUCCGAGACAAAUAGACAGAUACUUCCUGCAUCUACUACUAUUACUCCACACAUCGACCGCUAUCCAGCAUGCAUCUAGUGUAUUGACUUCAUGACGAACAGAGUAACGCUUUAAGCAAGAUGACAUGAUGUAGAGGGAUAAUCUCAAACCAAUGAUGAAAACCCCAUCUUUUUACCCUUGAUGGAAACAACAUGAUGCAUGCCUCGCUACCCCUUCUGUCACUGGGUGAGGUCACCGCACGGUAUGAACCCAAAACCAAGCACUUCUCCCAUUGCAAGAAUCAUAGAUCUAGUUGGCCAGACAAAACCCACAACUCGAAGAGAAUUACAAGGAUAUGAAAUCAUGCAUAAGAGAGAUCAGAAGAAACUCAAAUAAGAUUCAUAGCUAAUCUGAUCAUAAAUCCACAAUUCAUUGGAUCUCGACAAACACACCGCAAAAGAAUAUUACAUCGGAUAGAUCUCCUUGAAGAUCAUGGAGAACUUUGUAUUGAAGAUACAAGAGAGAGAAGAAGCCAUCUAGUUACUAGCUAUGAACCCGUAGGUCUAUGGUGAACUACUCACGCACCAUCGGAGAGGUCAUGGUGUUGAUGGAGAAGCCCUCCGUGUCCGAAUCCCCCUCCGGCAGGGCACCAGGACGUGCCCCAGAUGGGAUCUUGCGGCUAGAGAAGCUUGCGGCGGCGGAAAAGCGAUUGCGAUGACCUCCUGAUUUUUUCUAGAAUUUAUGGGAUUAUAUAGGCGAAAGACCUAGGUCAAGGGACCUCCAGGGGGCCCACAAGCCUGGAUGGCACCCCCCCUGGCCGCGGGGUGGGGGCUUGUGGGGCCCCUGGGGCUCCCCUGCCUUGGCUCCCAAGUUCCCCGAUCUUCUUCCGUUCCAAAAAAAUCUUUUCGGGGAUUUUCUUCCGUUUGGACUCCAUUUCAAAAUCUCCUCUGAAAGGGGUCAAAAACAUGGAAAAAAUAGGAACUGACACUUGGCACUGAGUUAAUAAGUUUGUCCCAAAAAGUAUAUAAAAGGCAUACAAAACAUCCAAAGUUUGACAAGAUAACAGCAUGAAACCAUCAAAAAUUAUAGAUAUGUUGGAGACAUAUCAAGCAUCCCCAAGCUUAACUCUUGCUCGUCCUCGAGUAGGGAAGUGAUAAAGAAUGAAUUUCUGAUGUGGAAUGCUACCUAGCAUAGUUGUACUUUGCAACUUCUUUCAUGUGACAUGAAUGUUCAGAUCCGUAAGAUUCAAAACAAUAGUUUGCUAUUGACAUGAAAACAGUAGUACUUCAAGCAAACUAGCAAAGUAAUCAUGAACUUUCAAAAUAACAAGGCCAAAGAAAG
rnacentral:lncRNA from 1 species